ensembl:miRNA
AUUAGGUUGGUGCAAAAGUAAUUGUCAUCUUUCCAACAUUUUUAAUGGCAAAGACUGCAAUUACUUUUGCAUCAACCUAAU